GAUUGAAAGCUGGCGUCUUCGGCGUCCGCAUUGUAAUCUCAAGAAGUGUUUUCCGCUUCGGACCAUGCCUAAGUCCCUUGGAAAAGGGCAUCAUAGAGGGUGAUAAUCCCGUACAUGGCAUGGAGCGCCCGAGGCUUUGUGAUACGCUUUCUAAGAGUCGAGUUGUUUGGGAAUGCAGCUCAAAAUGGGUGGUAAAUGCCAUCUAAGGCUAAAUAUUGGGGAGAGACCGAUAGCGAACAAGUACAGUGAUGGAAAGAUGAAAAGAACUUUGAAAAGAGAGUUAAACAGUACGUGAAAUUGCCAAAAGGGAAGGGUAGGAGGUCAGAGAUGCGUCCUGGGAUUCAGCCUUGCUUUUGCUUGGUGUUUUUCCCAGAUUGCAGGCCAACGUCGGUUUUGGGCACUGGAGAAGGGUGGAAGGAACGUGGCACCUCUCGGGGUGCGUUAUAGCCUUCUACUGGAUACAGCGACCGAGACCGAGGACAGCAGCGUACUCGCAAGAGCGGGCCUUCGGGCACCUUUACGCUUAGGGCGUUGGCAUAAUGGCCCUCUACCACCCGUCUU
rnacentral:rRNA from 1 species